rnacentral:tRNA from 1 species
CUAAAGGUAGUAUAUAUUUAAUACUAUUCGCUUACAACGAAUAAAUCCGCAAGGUCUUUAGU